GGAGGGUGCAAGCGUUAUCCGGAUUCACUGGGUUUAAAGGGUGCGUAGGCGGGUUGGUAAGUCCGUGGUGAAAUCUCCAAGCUUCACUUGGAAACUGCCGUGGAUACUAUCAAUCUUGAAUAUCGUGGAGGUGAGCGGAAUAUGUCAUGUAGCGGUGAAAUGCUUAGAUAUGACAUAGAACACCCAUUGCGAAGGCAGCUCGCUACACGGUUAUUGACGCUGAGGCACGAAAGCGUGGGGAUCAAACAGGAUUAGAUACCCUGGUAGUCCACGCCCUAAACGAUGAUUACUCGACAUCAGCGAUACACUGUUGGUGUCUAAACGGGAAGCAUUAAGUAAUCCACCUGGGAAGUACGACCGCAAGGUGAAACUCAAAGAAUGACGGCG
rnacentral:rRNA from 1 species